rnacentral:rRNA from 1 species
ACGAACGCUGGCGGCGUGCUUAACACAUGCAAGUCGAACGGAAAGGCCCUGCUUUUGUGGGGUGCUCGAGUGGCGAACGGGUGAGUAACACGUGAGUAACCUGCCCUUGACUUUGGGAUAACUUCAGGAAACUGGGGCUAAUACCGGAUAGGAGCUCCUGCUGCAUGGUGGGGGAUGGAAAGUUUCGGCGGUUGGGGAUGGACUCGCGGCUUAUCAGCUUGUUGGUGGGGUAGUGGCUUACCAAGGCUUUGACGGGUAGCCGGCCUGAGAGGGUGACCGGCCACAUUGGGACUGAGAUACGGCCCAGACUCCUACGGGAGGCAGCAGUGGGGAAUAUUGCACAAUGGGCGGAAGCCUGAUGCAGCAACGCCGCGUGCGGGAUGACGGCCUUCGGGUUGUAAACCGCUUUCGCCUGUGACGAAGCGUGAGUGACGGUAAUGGGUAAAGAAGCACCGGCUAACUACGUG